rnacentral:rRNA from 1 species
GGUGGUGCAUGGCCGUUCUUAGUUGGUGGAGUGAUUUGUCUGGUUAAUUCCGUUAACGAACGAGACCCCUGCCUGCUAAAUAGCCUGGUGAGUGAUUUUUCACUGAUUCAUGGCUUCUUAGAGGGACGUGCAUUCUAUUAGAUGCAGGAAGAUAGGGGCAAUAACAGGUCUGUGAUGCCCUUAGAUGUCCUGGGCCGCACGCGCGCUACAAUGAUGCAUUCAGAGAGCUUUUUUCCUGUGCCGAGAGGCCUGGGCAAUCUCUGAACGUGCAUCGUGAUAGGGAUAGAUUAUUGCAAUUAUUAAUCUUGAACGAGGAAUUCCUAGUAAACGCAGAUCAUCAAUCUGCAUUGAUUACGUCCCUGCCCUUUGUACACACCGCCCGUCGCACCUACCGAUUGAAUGGUCCGGUGAAGCCUCGGGAUUGUGGUCAGUUUGCUUCAUUGCAAAUUGAUUGCGAGAACUUGUCUAAACCUUAUGAUUAGAGAAGUAAGUCGAGCAUC